UAUAAAUCUACCUUUCUGCUGUUGGGAAAUUAAUUUCAGAAACAUCGUUUCUUCCAAACUGUAAAAAUUAUAAAAUACUAAAAGUAAUCCAGUGUGUAUGUGGUCAAAAGAGUAAAAUAUGUAAAGGAUUUAUUAUCCAUUUAAAAAGAGACAAAAAUUGUUCACUCACUGGUUCAAACAGUUCUCCUGCCUCAGCCUCCCGAGUGGGUGGGAUUACAGGUGCCCGCCACCACAGCCAGCUAAUUUCAGGGAUUGAUUUUAAAAGACAAUGCCCACUCUUUCCUUGCCUAACGCAGCCAUGGCUCGUGGUCCCAAGAAGCAUCUGAAGCGGGUAGCAGCUCCAAAGCAUUGGAUGCUGGGUAAAUUGAGUGGUGUGUUUGCUCCUCGUCCAUCCACCGGUCCCCACAAGUUGAGAGAGUGUCUCCCCCUCAUCAUUUUCCUCAGGAACAGACUUAAGUAUGCCCUGACAGGAGAUGAAGUAAAAAAGAUUUGCAUGCAGCGGUUCAUUAAGAUCGAUAGCAAGGUGCGAACUGAUAUAACCCAGCCUGCUGGAUUCAUGGAUGUCAUCAGCACUGACAAGACGGGAGAGAAUUUCCGUCUGAUCUGACACCAAGGGUCGCUUUGCUGUACAUCGUAUUACACCUGAGGAGGCCAAGUACAAGUUAUGCAGGGUGAGAAAGAUCUUUGUGGGCACAAAAGGAAUCCCUCAUCUGGUGACUCAUGAUGCCUGCACCAUCCGCUACCCCGAUCCCCUCAUCAAGGUGAAGAUACCAUUCAGGUUGAUUUGGAGGCUGGCAAGAUUACUGAUUUCGUCAAGUUCGACACUGGUAACUUGUGUAUGGUGACUGGAGGUGCUAACCUGGGAAGAAUUGGUGUGAUCACCAACAGAGAGAGGCACCCUGGAUCUUUUGACGUGGUUCACAUGAAAGAUGCCAAUGGCAACAGCUUUGCCACUCGACUUUCCAACAUUUUUGUUAUUGGCAAGGGCAACAAACCAUGGAUUUCUCUUCCCCGAGGAAAGGGUAUCCGCCUCACCAUUGCUGAAGAGACAAAAGACUGGCGGCCAAACAGAGCAGUGGGUGAAAUGGGUCCCUGGGUGACAUGUCAGACCUUUGUACAUAAUUAAAAAUAUUGUGGCAGGAAAAAAGAAAAGAAAAGAGAGAGAAUGCCCUCUAUGAAUUCUCAGCAUUGGACAACAUUCCUGUGUACUUACUAAGUAUUAGCAAAAACAAAAGUACAUGGAAUGAUUUUAAAUCCUUUUUUCCUGAGUACUAGCUGGUCACUAGAUGAUUAAAUGAAGACAAGCUGGACUGAUUUGAACUGAACUUCAGGUGAAGUGGGACCUUAGCGAGGCAGAAUGCUAGAGAUAGAAGCACCAAGUCCAGAGAGACACAUGGAGAUGACGGAGGAUUUAUUUUAGGAUUAUCUUAGGUUUCAUGUUUCAUAAGUUGGACAGACUCUGAAAGUUCAUAGAAGACUUUUCUAUAUAUUUUUGAAUAUGGAAGACAAGUUACCAAAAAUGAGAAGAAAUGAAUGCAUUUCUGUUUUUUCAGAUGUAGAAAAUGUAUAGAGAUGGUGAGAGACUGUCCAUUUGUGAGGUAAAGAAGGCGUAAAGAGAGCACAUAUGUGUUUAUUUUUUAUUAGACAACCUUUUGUUUUGUAAUAAUAAGAAUUCAUAUUUUACAGAAGACAAAUCAAAGAACUAAACAUUUAGAACCCUUGUUUUUGAUACUUAUCUCCCAUGCUGCCCUCCCUUUAUUCAGUACGUGCAUUUCUUCCCCACUAACUGCAUAUGAAUCGGAUAGCCAUCAGCUUCCUGGAUUAUGUGACAGACACAGUGGCAGUCAUCUGUACUGUAUUUCUUUUUACCCUGGGAGUCAAGAUCUAAAUCUACCAGAAAUGGUUUUUACUAAAAAACCAAGGAUGCGAUUUGUGACACCGUAGCCUCUUCUGCUGGACAAUUGCAUGCUUCUAGGGCCACUUUGUUCUCUGUCAUAUUUUGUGUAUCAUAAUUUCAGUGGCUUCUUUAUUUCUACAGUUCCUCUUGCCCAUCCUCCCCAACGAGAAAGCCUUUUUGGUAGGCUCAGAUUAGGUGACUGACAACUAAAAUUUCCUAUCUGUUGCAAGAGUAUCUCUUAUUUAUAAUGGUUAUCCAGUUAUUUAUAUACAAAGAAACAUUUUUAUAAGAUACUUUAAGAAAAGAGGUUAUUUUUCUUUUUCUUUAAAAAGGAGUUCUGUUCUUUUUAAAACAGAAUCUGACAGGAUCUUGUGUUUUUAAGAGGUGUCAUUCUUUUUUUUAAGCAAAAACUACAGCUUGGAGUUUUUUAAAUACAUAGUGAAUGUUUUGACCAAAUAUAUAUAGUUUUACUUAAAGUAUUUUAACGAUGAGUUUUCUAAGUGGAAGAUCCUAAUAGAAAUUGGCAUGUCCUAGUCAGUGGCAUGGACUAAUAACUUACCUUGAUAACAAAUCCCACUGCUGGCUACUAAGAAGCUUUAUCGGGUUUAAUAGGGAAAAGCCUUGUACUGAUACAUAUUGUUCAUAUGUUUACAUGUAAUGUGUACUUGUGUACAUAGUGUGUACUCACAUGUAUUACAUGCAUAUUAUAUGUGUGGACUGAGUCGCGUGUGUCCUGACUUUAAUGAUUCAGUGCUCAUGUCUGAGGUGUUCCUUUGAGCUCCGAGGUGAUGUGCAUAAAACUUUUAGUCUGCUCCCAGGUGAACCAGGUUAAAUAUGAGGGCUCUGGUUUAAAGAAAGGACCAGACUGCAUCCUGAGGGCUUCCCUCUGCCCCAGGAUUGGUUUCCACAGUCAAGUAGAGAGAAGGAAGUUGGAUCGAAUGAGGGGAGGGCUCAAGGCUGACCCCUCUUCCAAUUACCACAGUUUCUGUCUGUAUACAAAGCCUCUGUACACAUUACAGGAUUCCACUGGGCCCUGUUGGAGGAAUGGCUCCCAUGGCUUUCUUAAUGAUCUUUGUGGAUAUAGCUCUGAUAUUACACUGUGGGUGUUGAACAUGUCAGUCAGGCUGGGUAGGGGUUUCUUACAGAGAAGGGCCUCGUCUAAUUUAACAGCUGCUUCACUCCCUCAUUGCUUCUCUCUACUGGAUCUUAACAGAUGUUUGUUGGGUUAAAUUACAGAUGAUAGAUGAUGAAAUGAUACAUAGUAUACAUAAUUUUGUGGUGUUAUUAAAACAGAUUUUUGUCU